rnacentral:rRNA from 1 species
GACGAACGCUGGCGGCGUGCUUAACACAUGCAAGUCGAACGAUGAAGCCUUAGCUUGCUUUGGUGGAUUAGUGGCGAACGGGUGAGUAACACGUGAGCAACGUGCCCAGGACUCUGGAAUAACCGCGGGAAACCGUGGCUAAUACCGGAUAGGUGCCGAGGCCGCAUGGUCUUCGGGUGGAAAGUUUUUGCGGUUCUGGAUCGGCUCACGGCCUAUCAGCUUGUUGGUGGGGUAAUGGCCUACCAAGGCGACGACGGGUAGCCGGCCUGAGCGGGUGACCGGCCACACUGGGACUGAGACACGGCCCAGACUCCUACGGGAGGCAGCAGUGGAGAAUAUUGCACAAUGGGCGCAAGCCUGAUGCAGCAACGCCGCGUGGGGGAUGACGGCCUUCGGGUUGUAAACCUCUUUUCGUAGGGAAGAAGCGCAAGUGACGGUACCUGCAGAAAAAGCACCGGCUAACUCCGUG